CAAACGGCCCUUUUCAGGGCCAACAACACAAUCACGAAAGAAUUAU
rfam:Culex pipiens quinquefasciatus supercont3.498 genomic scaffold, whole genome shotgun sequence.